CCUACGGGGGGCUGCAGUGGGGAAUAUUGGACAAUGGGGGGAACCCUGAUCCAGCCAUGCCGCGUGUGUGAAGAAGGCCCUCGGGUUGUAAAGCACUUUCAGGGAGGAAGAACGCCUGGUGGUUAAUACCCAUCAGGAAAGACAUCACUCACAGAAGAAGCACCGGCUAACUCCGGGCCAGCAGCCGCGGUAAUACGGAGGGUGCGAGCGUUAAUCGGAAUUACUGGGCGUAAAGCGCGCGUAGGUGGCUUGAUAAGCCGGUUGUGAAAGCCCCGGGCUCAACCUGGGAACGGCAUCCGGAACUGUCAAGCUAGAGUGCAGGAGAGGAAGGUAGAAUUCCCGGUGUAGCGGUGAAAUGCGUAGAGAUCGGGAGGAAUACCAGUGGCGAAGGCGGCCUUCUGGACUGACACUGACACUGAGGUGCGAAAGCGUGGGUAGCAAACAGGAUUAGAUACCCGUGUAGUC
rnacentral:rRNA from 1 species